rnacentral:tRNA from 1 species
AUUCUUUUAGUAUUAACAUAGUACAACUGACUUCCAAUCAGUUAGUUCCGGCACAACCCGGAAAAGAAUA